AAGGGCGAGGAGAUGGCGGCGGGGGAUGUCUGCGCCCCCGGCCGGCCGCGGCCGCGUGUCAUUGCUACAGGCAGGGGGAUCAGGGUCGGGCGGCUGUGAGGGGGCUCUGCAAACGCUGUGGGUCUUCUUCGUCCGCCUCAGCUCCCGCAGGAGUCACGUCUGUGUUCCUUCUCCGGAGCUCUCGGGGUGUACGCGCGCGCCGCCUCUGGAGGGUGGGAAGCGCCUUUGAGAGCCAAGGCCUUUUCUGCUUUUUGUACUGCCCUGCUGGCACGAAAGCUGUGGCCACAUGGGAGGUUGGGAGGAGACAGCCAGGAUAGGUGACCUGAACUGACUGAAGGGAUAUCAUGGAAUCAUGCUCAGUGUAUAAAGUAGAAGGAAGAAGAAGGGGGGCGCAUUUGGAGUGAUGACAUUUGUCUUCCCGAGUCACCGUUACACGUGAUGGGGCCCUGCUCUUCUGGAGAUGGAUGAGCACCUGCCUGCCCAUGGGAAGCACUUCCAAGGCAAGGGAAGGAACAGCAAUCUGAGAUUUUACAAGAUAAAUGCAACAGCAAGAAGUUACUAACAGCGUUGAUUAUAAGCAGAGAGAAAACGGGUAGUAAAGCAAAAAGAAGAACCUCAAAGUUGUAAUAUGUCAGGUGGAUGUGAAACGUCUGUGUGCAUUUUCUGCCGAAAAAAUUAUUCUUCUGGCUUUUGUGUUAAGUCACUAAUAAAUUAUAUAUAGUUCCAGUUACUGUGUAUAUCCGUAAGUAUCCUUUUUUGUUGUUACCUCCAAAACAAGAAGGGUGUUUGUUAAAAUUGAGAUUUUUUUAAAGUAUAAAUUAAAAUUUAAUUUAGGAUGUCUUUAAUUUAAAUAGAAUUUAAAGCACAGCAUAGUCUAGGUUUUCAUAUUGUCGUUAUAAUAGU